UAAGACGAAGGGGGCUAGCGUUGUUCGGAAUUACUGGGCGUAAAGCGAGUGUAGGUGGUUGUCCAAGUUGGAUGUGAAAGCCUUGAGCUCAACUCAAGAAAUGCAUUCAGGACUGGGCGGCUAGAGGACCGGAGAGGAUAGUGGAAUUCCCAGUGUAGUGGUGAAAUACGUAGAGAUUGGGAAGAACACCAGUGGCGAAGGCGGCUAUCUGGACGGUUUCUGACACUAAGACUCGAAAGCGUGGGGAGCAAACAGGAUUAGAUACCCUGGUAGUCCACGCUGUAAACGAUGGGUGCUCGGUGUCGCGGGUAUCGACCCCUGCGGUGCCUUAGCUAACGCGUUAAGCACCCCGCCUGGGGAGUACGGUCGCAAGGCUG
rnacentral:rRNA from 1 species